AGUUCCCUUUGCCAGAACCACAGCUGCCUAACCAUUGGCUAGAUUGUUCCAUCAAUCAAAUCUCAGGAAGUUGCUACCCACUUGAACAAGAGAGGAUGAAGUAAAUAAAACCAAAAUGAUCUAUUUGAAGUUAUUGCAUUUCAGGUGGAGCGGGAGUAAGACCACUAGAAAGCAGCAUGCUGCCAGACCACCACAGGACCCUGGAGGCCUCAGCAUGCUGUGACAAGGGCCCGGAUGGUGACAUAUGCUUCAAGCUGCCUGACUGAAUACAGGGGCCUUCAGCGGUACCUUCCCUUUUAUUACCGCAAUAGUCUCCAUAUGUCUCGUAGCCAUUUAACAUGUACUGUAUGUAACCACUCAAAUUCUUACAAACUUAUACGAAUACAAGAAAAUACUUAUAUUCACUUGCCUCUGGCUGCGUUUACAGGCAGCCCAAUUCUGAUAUUUUUUCCACUAAUUGGUCUUUUGACCAAUCCCAGAUCUUUUCACAUUGGAUCUUUUUCAGAGCUGAUCUGAUUGAUCAAAAGACCAAUUGGUGGGGAAAAAAGUGUCAGACUUGGGCUGCCUGUCUAAACACAGCCUAUUUGUCCUAUUCUUCAGGCUUGUCUGGGAUAUAUAUUUUAGUUGGCACACCUGUGAUAUCUUUUAUACAUGAAUAAUUAUUUUUUCACCCUGGAUAUGAGACUUGAAUUUAUUUUUAGACCUCUUUGAAUCAGAAGCGCUGUCUUGAUGGAAUAAGUCUGCAUGUUGUCAGAUGUUUAAGUUACCAUAGUAGUUAGUAAAAAUGAGAAGACCAGGCUGAAACAGUUAUGGUUUUGUAACCUAUUAAAAAAUGUACAUGUAGUUUAUACAAAACUUGAUUGCAUUUGGUGGUCAUCCCUCCCCCAAAUUUGACAAUUUUAAAGCCUUGAUAGUUGCACCCUUCCUCAGGGAAAUUUCUGCUGAUAGCUGAAAUGGUGGUAGGUUUUUUUGAUGUGCUGCUCUAGAGUUCCAUGGCCCAGCAGACUCCCCUGGGGAUGGGAGAUGGACAUGUUUAGUUUUUAUAAAAGUCUGGGAGACGAGUGCAUGAGUUUGAGUGAGUACAGUAAGAGUUGACAUUGACGAUUGAGGAUUAUAAGGGUGCCUUCCAAUCACACAAAUUGUGCGUAAAAGACAGGGGGGGCUAGGCUUGUGUUGUGCUGUCCGUCAGAAAAGUACCAAAGACUAUCCAUCAACCAAUUAUAAACGUAAAACAGCAUUUUACCCCACCAAACAGAUAAGUGUUUCAUGUAUUUACGUUUGAAGGUAGCCUUACUCUGUGGUUCAAGUUGUAUCUUCAUGUCUGUAACUUCAUUCUCACUCCGUCUGACCCCUAAGCCCUCAUGCCUGACCUCCCAUUGGCCCAGGGCCUCUGGCAAAACCCUCUAAUCAGUCUCUCUGACAGGGAGUUACUCCAGGAGUUGACAGGUUUAUGGUGCAUAGGGUAUCUAUGUGUAUGCAUGCAUGACUUACAUGGAGUGCUCCAUGUUCCUGCUGGUUGCAGAGAAAUGGCAUGCCUUGGAGUAUGGUUGUAUCCAUCUCCACCAGGCUCCUGGAAAUCAUGACAAACCUGCAUAUAUUAACAAAAUAAAAUGGUAACUAUUUAUGCAGUUUAAGUCAUGACAGCCAUAGGUUAUUUACACAGGAGUGUACAGGUUUUUGUUCCAGCACUUCACUAACACCUCAUUUAACUAAUUGUGGUCUAAAUUGAACAAACACUUGUACACAGUUGUCACCUGGCCUAGAAAUCAACCAUGUCUGUAUUAUUGAAUGAGCUUCCCAAGUUACAAGGUUAGCUACAAUUCUGCAUGAUAGAGAAUAACAUGGGUGGAUCUAUUUCUAUCUAACCUUGUGAAUAAACCCCCUAAACAAGAUGAUUAUCCUGGUGGCUAGGAGGUUCCCAAGUUCUUGACAUCUGUCUGGGUGUUAGGGAUGUGCUUCAACCUGAGGAAAAUAGCAGAGAGGGGGAAGACAUUAACCCCAUUGCUUACAUUUCAGUGCUGGUUCAAGUUGCUGAGAACCACAUGUACCUUAAGUUUUUCAGUCACCAAAUAAUCAAUGAACAGGCAGUGAAGUAGUUUGACAAGUGUUCAAAGUCAGUAACAAGUCUUUAAAAUAUAGCUAGCAUGUUGGCAAGUACCUGGCCAGCAAUCUUCACCUGUCGAUGGCAACAGCUUUCACAGGCUCAUCAUAAUGUACAAAUAACCCAAUUAUGAAACAUUUUAUUUAAACUGACAUUAUUUGUUGCAUAUAAUGUCCAGGACAUAACCUAGUCUGGUGGAUCCAGCCUGAUCUUUUUUACCAUUCUAUUUCACUUCACAUUUGAUAUCUGCAGUGAAGUAGAAAGGUGAACGAAGCGAUCCGGUUGGUUCCAUCAGGACCAGGCUAUUUAGAACCACCAUCUAUAAUGUAAUCAGUGCUCUGUGUGUGUGUGUGACCCACCAGUACCUUUGAGGGGCCAGGAGCUGCUCUAUGCUGCUAUGCCCAUCAAUGGGGCUGUAGAAAAGACCUCACCUCCAGCCUGCUCACCAACGGUUGUCAAUAGGGAGAACAGAAUUAGAAACAUGUAUGGAGGCAGCACAUGGAGACUUGCAAGAUGAAGUCCAGACUGACAGACGGGCUUGAUACUGAUGUCUCUGAAUGGAGAAAGACCUGGCACUCGGCAUUAACAUUUUACUAGACAACUUUUACCAUUUAAUUCAAUAAAAAAUAAAGUAUCAGACAAGA